CUACGGGGUGCUGCAGUGGGGAAUAUUGCACAAUGGGCGCAAGCCUGAUGCAGCAACGCCGCGUGAGGGAUGAAGGCCUUCGGGUUGUAAACCUCUUUUAGCAGGGAAGAAGCGAAAGUGACGGUACCUGCAGAAAAAGCACCGGCUAACUACGUGCCAGCAGCCGCGGUAAUACGUAGGGUGCAAGCGUUGUCCGGAAUUAUUGGGCGUAAAGAGCUCGUAGGCGGUUUGUCGCGUCUGCUGUGAAAAUCCAAGGCUCAACCUUGGACUUGCAGCGGGUACGGGCAGGCUAGAGUGCGGUAGGGGAGAUGGGAAUUCCUGGUGUAGCGGUGGAAUGCGCAGAUAUCAGGAGGAACACCAAUGGCGAAGGCACAUCUCUGGGCCGUAACUGACGCUGAGGAGCGAAAGCGUGGGGAGCGAACAGGAUUAGAUACCCCUGUAGUC
rnacentral:rRNA from 1 species